rnacentral:tRNA from 1 species
GCAGUGGUGGUCCAGUGGUAGAAUUCUCACCUUAUGUGUGGGAGACCUGGGUUUGAUUCCUAGCCAAUGCU